UCUGGCCGGGCACCUCUCCCUCUUAUGUUUAUCUGUGUGGCUUGUUGAGCUUCCUCACAGCAUAGCAACUCGGGCAGCUGGUCUGCUCAUGUGGCAUUUCAGCAAAUGAAGCAGAAGCUGCAUUGCUUCACACAUGCUGUUGCUCCUCAGCAAGUUACACGUCCUCCCAGAAUCAAGGGGAGAGACAGAGCCAUGUGCAGAGGACGUAUGGGCUAGAGAGAUUACUGCAGGAGGAACCCUGUGGGGGUGAACCCUGUGCCAGGUCCUCAAGGUGCCAGCUCUGCCCUGCAACGGAGAACUGAGGGGCGCCAGCUCUGCCCUGCGACGGAGAACUGAGAGGUGCCAGCUCUGCCCUGCGAUGGAGAACUGAGGGGCGCCAGCUCUGCCCUGUGAUGGAGAACUGAGAGGUGCCAGCUCUGCCCUGCGAUGGAGAACUGAGGGGCGCCAGCUCUGCCCUGCGAUGGAGAACUGAGGGGCGCCAGCUCUGCCCUGCGACGGAGAACUGAGGGGCGCCAGCUCUGCCCUGCGACGGAGAACUGAGAGGUGCCAGCUCUGCCCUGUGAUGGAGAACUGAGAGGUGCCAGCUCUGCCCUGCGAUGGAGAACUGAGGGGCGCCAGCUCUGCCCUGCGAUGGAGAACUGAGGGGCGCCAGCUCUGCCCUGCGAUGGAGAACUGAGGGGCGCCAGCUCUGCCCUGCGAUGGAGAACUGAGGGGCGCCAGCUCUGCCCUGCGAUGGAGAACUGAGAGGCGCCAGCUCUGCCCUGUGAUGGAGAACUGAGAGGCGCCAGCUCUGCCCUGUGAUGGAGAACUGAGAGGUGCCAGUGGCCUGCAUGACACAUACUGCUGUUCCUUGCUGGGGCUAGCUCAGAAAUCAUGUCACCUAGGUAGCUGGCCCCACCCUGCAUGUCAGUAAUGGGGUUUUGUUGGUACUGGUACAUGCUCAGUCAGUAUCUGGAUUAGAGUACAUGGAAAUGAUUGGCACUGAAGGAACUCCAAGUAUCAUCGACCACAUACAUUAACCAAGACAUCGGAUUUCUGCUACAGCUGUGUGAGAGUGGAAGCUGAGGCACAGGAGGAGAAGGGGCCUGGCCAAGUUCACACAGAGCCUUCCCAUCCCCCGACCGAAAGCAAAUCAUUCGACAACUCCGGACCCUCCGAUGGCAGGAGCCCCCUGACAUCCCAGGCCGACCGCCCUCCCUCUCUGCGCGUGGGUUCUGGGCCCAGCUGAGGCCAUGGAGGUGACGUCGGACCGCGGCGCUUGGUGAGCCACCGCCACCCCGCUGUGCUCCACGGGCUGCACCCGGACACGCACCACCCGGGCCUCGGCCACUGCUGCAUGGACCUGGUGCAGUACCAGCUGCCAGAGGAGGUGGAUGUGCUUGUUAACAUCGAUGGCCAUGGCAACCAUGUCCCUCCCUACUAGGGAAAUUCGGUCAGGGCCACGGUGCACAGGUACCCUCCGACUCACCACGGGAGCAAGGUGUGCCGCCCGCCUCUGCUUCACGGGUCUCUGCCCUGGCUGGAUGGCAGGAAAGCCCUGGGCAGCCACCGCACCGCCUCCCGCUGGAACCUCAGCCCCUUCUCCAAGACGUCCAUUCACCACGGCUCCCCGGGGCCCCCUCCGUCUACAGCCCAGCCUCAUCCUCCUCCCGGUUGGGGGGCCACGCCAGCCUGCACCUCUUCACCUUCCCGCCCACCCCACCGAAGGACGUCUCCCCAGACCCGUCGCUGUCCACCCCGGGCUCAGCCAGCUCGGCCUGGCAGGAUGAGAAAGUGCCUCAAGCACCUGGUGCCACUGCCUGACAGCAUGAAGCUGGAGUCCUCGCAUUCCCGUGGCAGCAUGACUGCCCUAGGGGGCGCCUCUUCAUCAGCCCCCCACCCCAUCACCACCUACCCGCCCUACGUGCCUGAGUACAGCUCCGGACUCUUCCCCCCAAGCAGCCAGCCUGCUGGGCGGCUCCCACAUGGGCUUGGGAUGCAAGUCCAGGCCCAAGGCCUGGUCCAGCGCAGAAGGCAGGGGGUGUGUGAACUGCGGGGCAACCUCCACCCCACUGUGGCGGCGAGACGGCCCAGGGCACUACCUGUGCAACGCCUGCGGGCUCCACCACAAAAUGAACGGACAAAACCCGCCCCUCAUCAAGCCCAAGCGAAGGCUGUCAGCAGCUAGGAGGGCAGGAACAUCCUGUGCGAACUGUCAGACCACCACAACCACUCUCUGGAGGAAGAACGCCAACGGGGACCCCGUCUGCAAUGCCUGUGGGCUCUACUACAAGCUAUACAAUAUUAACAGACCCCUGACUAUGAAGAAGGAAGGCAGCAGACCAGAAACCGAAAAACGUCCAGCAAAUCCAAAAAGUGCAAAAAAGUGCAUGACUCGCUGGAGGACUUCCCCAAGAACAGCUCGUUUAACCCGGCCACCCUCUCCAGACACAUGUCCUCCCUGAACCACAUAUCGUCCUUCAGCCACUCCAGCCACAUGCCGGCCACGCCCACGCCAAGGCACCCGCCCUCCCGCCUGUCCUUCGGACCUCACCGUCCCUCCAGUAUGAUUACUGCCAUGAGUUAGAGCCCUGCUCGAGGCUCCCAGGGCCCCAGAGAGAGCCCUGCAGCCCACCUCGACUUGCAUUGGCGCAGGAGCAGUAUCAUGAAGCCUAACGCGAUGGAUAUAUGGUUUUGAAGGCAGAAAGUGAAUUUAUGUUGCCACUUUGCAGAGGAGCUCACUGUGGUGUCUGUGUUCCAACCACUGAAUCUGGACCCCAUCUGUGAAUAAGCCAUUCUGACUCAUAUCCCCUAUUUAACAGGGUCUCUAGUGCUGUGAAAAAAAAAUGCUGAACAUUACAUAUAACUUAUAUUGUAAGAAAUACUGUACAUUUGAGGAAGACUUUAUUGCAUCUGGGUAGCUGUAAGGCAUGAAGGAUGCCAAGAAGUUUAAGGAAUAUGGGGGAAACAGAGUGUGGAAAUUAAGAAGAAACUAGGUCUGAUAUUCAAAUGGACAAACUGCCAGUUUUCUUUCCUGUCACUGGCCACAGUUGUUUGCUGCAUUAAAAGAAUAAAAAGAAAAAGAAAAAA